CUCCCAAUCUGUCUAUUCAAGCCUAUCAAAAAUCUGAAGUAGUGAUGCUGAGAUAAUAUGUGGUUGGUCCAACCCAGUGGAGUGUGACGGGGAAACAGGGCUUAGAGAAAUUUAAUCUUAAAACUGGAGUACUUUCCUCAUUUCCCUGAAAUAAAGGGAAUUGGGGGAAAAGCAAAAUGGAUGAGGCUGAGUUCUAGAGCUCUAAUCCUUCACGUACUGACUGCUACAGCCC
rnacentral:lncRNA from 1 species